GUACGUACUGGCAUCGUCGGUUUCUCCCUUCUGACGAACCAUGAUGUUAUUUAUUUGGUGUUGUGGGGAAUCAGGACUGUUACUUUGAAAAAAUUAGAGUGUUUAAAGCAGGCUCACGCUUGAAUACAUUAGCAUGGAAUAAUGAAAUAGGACGUUUGAUUCUAUUUUGUUGGUUUCUAGGAUCGACGUAAUGAUUAAUAGGGAUAGUUGGGGGCAUUAGUAUUCAAUUGUCAGAGGUGAAAUUCUUGGAUUUAUUGAAGACUAACUACUGCGAAAGCAUUUGCCAAGGAUGUUUUCAUUAAUCAAGAACGAAAGUUAGGGGAUCGAAGACGAUCAGAUACCGUCGUAGUCUUAACUAUAAACUAUGCCGACUAGGGAUCGGAUGAUGUUAAUUUUUUAAUGACUCAUUCGGCGCCUUACG
rnacentral:rRNA from 1 species